AUGAUUUGCCCGCCGCUUCUCCAGUCUUCGCUGAAGUUCAUCUGGAAAAACCCAAACAAAUUCCAUGGUCAAACGUUGCACAUGCAUACUGAACAAGGGGAUCAGACUAGUCAACAUAAACCUCUCCAUAUAUGGCGUGCACCCAACAUCACGAUGCCUUGUACAAUCAAGGAGGAAUCACCAACUGUGUCAUUAGGGGCACUUGUAGCAGACCCUGGUGUGAGACCGGAACAAGACUUCACUCUAAUCGCAUCGCAUGGGAAUCAAGGAUACCCCCUCAUAAAUCAUUUGUUCAUCAUGUGA
rnacentral:rRNA from 1 species